UACGUAGGUGGCAAGCGUUGUCCGGAAUUACUGGGUGUAAAGGGCGUGUAGGCGGGUUAUCAAGUCAGAUGUGAAAUUCCAGGGCUUAACCCUGGAGCUGCAUCUGAAACUGAUGAUCUUGAGUACUGGAGAGGGAAGCGGAAUUCCUAGUGUAGCGGUGAAAUGCGUAGAUAUUAGGAGGAACAUCAGUGGCGAAGGCGGCUUUCUGGACAGUAACUGACGCUGAGGCGCGAAAGCGUGGGGAGCAAACAGG
rnacentral:rRNA from 1 species